rnacentral:miRNA from 1 species
ACCAGCAGAGGCUUGGAGCAGG